AGCUGUCCCCAGCGGCCAGUGUCCCCCAUGCCGGAUCUCUAGGAUCUGGAAGGCCGCUGCUGCCAGGAACAAGAAGUCAGAGAGGGCCAGGCUGAGCAGGAGCAGUGCCAGACGCGUGCCAGCUCCAUGCCGGGCCUGGGAGCCGGCCAGCCACGCCAUCAACCCAUUGGCUGGCAGCCCAAGGAGCAGCACGGCCACUAGGAAGACCGUGUCCCAGCCACCCUGGGGGUAGGAGUCCUCAUCGUCAAGCUCUGUGCGGGGCCCGUGGCCGGAGGCACCCAGGUCGGCUUCCAUAGUAGUGUCCAUUUAGGGUCCCCAGAGUCCUGCUGGACAUGGAGUGGGUGCCUGGUGAAUCAAUGAUGGUGUGAAUGACCGAGUAUGGGAGAGACGGUGCUGUGCAUCUCCAGAGCAGGCAAGGGGGCAGCACGGCCCAAACCUGGCCAGUGGCCCUCAGAAGCCCCCUGCGGGGGUUGUGACUCCCAAGAGUGAUGCAGAGGAGCCCCCGCUGACCAGGAAGAGGAGCAAGAAGGAGAGGGGGCUCCGAGGGUCUCGAAAGCGCACUGGCAGCUCUGGGGAGCAGACAGGCCCUGAGGCCCCGGAGAGCAGCAAUAACCCUCCCAGCACUAGAGAGGGGCCGGCGAGCGCACCCCCUGCAUCCCCCGGGCCGGCCUCUUCUCGCCAGUCCCACCGACAUCGUCCUGACUCCCGGCACGAUGCUGCUCAGAGGACAUACGGGCCCCUGCUCAAUCGAGUCUUUGGGAAGG
rnacentral:sRNA from 1 species